AGAGUUUGAUCCUGGCUCAGGACGAACGCUGGCGGCGUGCUUAACACAUGCAAGUCGAACGGAAAGGCCCUUCGGGGUACUCGAGUGGCGAACGGGUGAGUAACACGUGGGUGAUCUGCCCUGCACUUUGGGAUAAGCCUGGGAAACUGGGUCUAAUACCGAAUAUGACCAUGCACUUCCUGGUGUGUGGUGGAAAGCUUUUGCGGUGUGGGAUGGGCCCGCGGCCUAUCAGCUUGUUGGUGGGGUAAUGGCCUACCAAGGCGACGACGGGUAGCCGGCCUGAGAGGGUGACCGGCCACACUGGGACUGAGAUACGGCCCAGACUCCUACGGGAGGCAGCAGUGGGGAAUAUUGCACAAUGGGCGCAAGCCUGAUGCAGCGACGCCGCGUGAGGGAUGACGGCCUUCGGGUUGUAAACCUCUUUCAAUAGGGACGAAGCGCAAGUGACGGUACCUAUAGAAGAAGGACCGGCCAACUACGUGCCAGCAGCCGCGGUAAUACGUAGGGUCCGAGCGUUGUCCGGAAUUACUGGGCGUAAAGAGCUCGUAGGUGGUUUGUCGCGUUGUUCGUGAAAACUCACAGCUUAACUGUGGGCGUGCGGGCGAUACGGGCAGACUAGAGUACUGCAGGGGAGACUGGAAUUCCUGGUGUAGCGGUGGAAUGCGCAGAUAUCAGGAGGAACACCGGUGGCGAAGGCGGGUCUCUGGGCAGUAACUGACGCUGAGGAGCGAAAGCGUGGGGAGCGAACAGGAUUAGAUACCCUGGUAGUCC
rnacentral:rRNA from 1 species